UACGGAGGAUCCAAGCGUUAUCCGGAAUCAUUGGGUUUAAAGGGUCCGUAGGUGGAUGAUUAAGUCAGAGGUGAAAUCCUGCAGCUCAACUGUAGAAUUGCCUUUGAUACUGGUUAUCUUGAGUUAUUGUGAAGUAGUUAGAAUAUGUGGUGUAGCGGUGAAAUGCAUAGAUAUUACAUGGAAUACCGAUUGCGAAGGCAGAUUACUAACAAUACACUGACACUGAUGGACGAAAGCGUGGGGAGCGAACAGG
rnacentral:rRNA from 1 species